GAUGAACGCUGGCGGCGUGCCUAAUACAUGCAAGUCGAGCGAACGGACGAGAAGCUUGCUUCUCUGAUGUUAGCGGCGGACGGGUGAGUAACACGUGGAUAACCUACCUAUAAGACUGGGAUAACUUCGGGAAACCGGAGCUAAUACCGGAUAAUAUUUUGAACCGCAUGGUUCAAAAGUGAAAGACGGUCUUGCUGUCACUUAUAGAUGGAUCCGCGCUGCAUUAGCUAGUUGGUAAGGUAACGGCUUACCAAGGCAACGAUGCAUAGCCGACCUGAGAGGGUGAUCGGCCACACUGGAACUGAGACACGGUCCAGACUCCUACGGGAGGCAGCAGUAGGGAAUCUUCCGCAAUGGGCGAAAGCCUGACGGAGCAACGCCGCGUGAGUGAUGAAGGUCUUCGGAUCGUAAAACUCUGUUAUUAGGGAAGAACAUAUGUGUAAGUAACUGUGCACAUCUUGACGGUACCUAAUCAGAAAGCCACGGCUAACUACGUGCCAGCAGCCGCGGUAAUACGUAGGUGGCAAGCGUUAUCCGGAAUUAUUGGGCGUAAAGCGCGCGUAGGCGGUUUUUUAAGUCUGAUGUGAAAGCCCACGGCUCAACCGUGGAGGGUCAUUGGAAACUGGAAAACUUGAGUGCAGAAGAGGAAAGUGGAAUUCCAUGUGUAGCGGUGAAAUGCGCAGAGAUAUGGAGGAACACCAGUGGCGAAGGCGACUUUCUGGUCUGUAACUGACGCUGAUGUGCGAAAGCGUGGGGAUCAAACAGGAUUAGAUACCCUGGUAGUCCACGCCGUAAACGAUGAGUGCUAAGUGUUAGGGGGUUUCCGCCCCUUAGUGCUGCAGCUAACGCAUUAAGCACUCCGCCUGGGGAGUACGACCGCAAGGUUGAAACUCAAAGGAAUUGACGGGGACCCGCACAAGCGGUGGAGCAUGUGGUUUAAUUCGAAGCAACGCGAAGAACCUUACCAAAUCUUGACAUCCUUUGACAACUCUAGAGAUAGAGCUUCCCCCUUCGGGGGACAAAGUGACAGGUGGUGCAUGGUUGUCGUCAGCUCGUGUCGUGAGAUGUUGGGUUAAGUCCCGCAACGAGCGCAACCCUUAAGCUUAGUUGCCAUCAUUAAGUUGGGCACUCUAAGUUGACUGCCGGUGACAAACCGGAGGAAGGUGGGGAUGACGUCAAAUCAUCAUGCCCCUUAUGAUUUGGGCUACACACGUGCUACAAUGGACAAUACAAAGGGCAGCGAAACCGCGAGGUCAAGCAAAUCCCAUAAAGUUGUUCUCAGUUCGGAUUGUAGUCUGCAGCUCGACUACAUGAAGCUGGAAUCGCUAGUAAUCGUAGAUCAGCAUGCUACGGUGAAUACGUUCCCGGGUCU
rnacentral:rRNA from 1 species